GCGCCCGUAGCUCAGUUGGCAGAGCAGUGCGACGGUACCCUACCCACGGCCCCGGGCUCAAGACCCGGCGGUCGCU